rnacentral:sRNA from 1 species
UGUUACAAAUAUUUAACCCCAUCCACAGGCUCACAGGUUAACCCUUGACCCCAAGCUGGCGGUGCUGCUUUGGGAGGUGGUGGAAGCUGUAGGAGGCAGGGCCUCAGUUGAGGAAGUGGGUCAGCAUGGCUCUGCAUUCUCAAGACACAACAAUCCAGAGGCAGUGACAUGAAUGCUUGCUCCGUGGACAGGUGGAAAAAUGACUGGGGAUAAAGGAUGGAUGAGAGCAGGACCUGCUGUCUCACAGCAGCGCCACACAGAACCCCACCUGCUGUGGAAUGCACACGAGCCAUUUUAGAGCAUGGGGGAAAUGUGGUAAAAUCCUUUAAAAUCUUCCUGACGAGUAAAUUCCUGGAAAGCAAUUAAUGUGGAAGGCUUUCAGGGACCAGAGGGAGUGGCAGAUAGCUUGAAUCCUGUUUCCUGAGUGGUCAGCCACGGACAUCACUCCAAACCAGGUAGCAAAGAGUGUGCUUUUUACAUCUCUGUUCUAGGAAGAACAUUUGCACAACUUCUAGCAACAUUCUUGGGUCAGUGGCCAUGACCCUGAGGCAAUGCUUAGCGCUACAGUGAUCGUUUGACUCCACACGGUACUACAAAAAGUGAAGCAGUGAAAGCCCUGGGCCACACCAACAAGCACGUGACAAGAGAGACGCUUGCUCAUACGACAGAGGCCUGCAUCCCUUAGGCAGAGUACUGACCAUGAUUGGAUGCGAAUGGAAGAAUGUCAACUAAGGAUUGUGUCUAUAUAGAAAAUCAUUAGCCAAACACCACAGGGCUAAUUAAUGUCAUUUGAAAUACUUUCUGUGUAUGUUGAAUAGAGUGCCGCCAUUAUCAUCUGGCCAAACGAAAUGCCUGCCCAUAAACAACAUGGAGCUAUUUAACAGGAUAGCUAAUUACAUCUCGUCUCACAGCCCCAACUGAUCCUAAGCAACAACUCCCUAAGCUGUGUUGUAGUGCAAGGUAGCCUAAGGCUCUGGGGCAGUUACUGAAUCAUGAGAUUUUACUGUUAGAACUUGUUCGGUGUGUUUAAAAACCACCAAAAUAUUGAAUGGAGUAAAGUUACUAGGGAGACCGCAGCUUGGAAAGAGGCAGAGGAGAUCAAGAUAGAGAGGGACACUUCAAAAGCCACGCUCGGGCUCACAGGCACCUGGCACGAAGCUAAGAAUGCUGGGGGAAUGGGAGGGAAAGUACCAAGCCCUGUGCUUUGCUCCAGGUCACCUGGUUCUAUGCGGCACCCUUGUGGGUGGCCUGUGGCAUCUAUGGCUGGAGGCAGCUGCAUGUGUUUCCAUGGUCUUCAGGUGGCAGGUUCUCUUUUUACCAAGCACUUUGUAUAAACUGUUCCCUUCAGCCUUCCUUCUUCACAUACAUUCUAUAGGAGGUUUAUUUUGGGCCCAAGGCGUGCUUCUCUCUGCAUUUGAUCUCAAAGCAAGCUCGUUGAAAAGAGGACCAGAGACCUAGACAAACCUUAUGGACUUGUGUCAUCCUUCUAUGUAUGCAAGAGACACAUUCCAGGUCCCCCCAUAGGCACCCAAGUUCUCACAUGCUCCGCUGUGGCAUUGCCAUAGAUCUGUACACAUCCCAGUGUGUGUAUUUUGAAUUGUCUCUAGACAAGUUUUGAUGAUAUUGCUGUGUCCAUGCCAGGGAGACAUUUGUUAAUGCUGCAUUGUGUUGGGGAUAAAGACAAGGGGAAAGCCACUCAUGCUCUGUGCAGAGGCAUUUUCAGUAAUCCCCCACCAUGGGGGAGGGAGGUCAGUUAAACCCUAGUGUCCAGGUUGGCUUUUUACUGCUGUGAUAAACACCAUGACCAAAAGCAAAUUGGGGAGAAAAGACUUCAUCUUAUGGCUUAUCGUGCAUCAUCCAGCAAGGCCAGGGCAGGAACUUGAGACAGGGACCUGGAAGGACGUACGAACUAAAGCAGAGACCAUAGAGGAAUGCUACUUACUCUCUUGCCUCCACUGCUUGUUCAUACAGCUCAGGACCACCUCCCACAACGAACUCCAUCCCCCAACCCACGUCCACCUUUAAUCAAGAGUCUUUCCUACAAACCAAUCUAAUGGAGGUAGUUUCUCAGCUGAGUGCUACUCCUCUACUAGUUUGUGUCAGGUUGACAAAUACUAACUAGCACCCUGGAUACAGCAGAUGUCAUGGAUACAAAGGGCUGGCUGCAGUGAUGGGACACUGGCCACCUUACUACCUUACUUCCUACCUACGAUGUGUCAAAGUCCAUCUCACUUUAAACCUAAAGGAGAAAAUAAUUUUGAAUAUUUUUCUUGAUUUUUUUCCCCAAAUGGGAUAUGGGAAAAAAGUACAACAUUACUGGGUCAUUAUUGUUCGUUUUCAGAACAAUGACAGAAUCUGAAAUCAUAUGGGAAAUGGACUCUGGGUUGGAACCCAGAACCUUGUCCCUCCCACUUAGGCAUGUGCUCUUACACUGAGCUACACCCUUGGCCUCAUACCUUCAUUUCUAAAAAUAAUGCCAAUGUGUAAUUGUGAGGAUUAAAGUAACAUGGAGACAAAUGAGUACACACUUCAUGUGCAUCAAAGCGGAGUCAUGCUAGGAAUUGCCUGGAGUGGACAUCUGUCUUAGGAGUUGCCAGGGAUGCUCAUAAUGACUCACAAAGUCUUCAGUGUGCUCCUUGACAUACAGUUUGUGUCACUGGUAUGGUCUUGGCCAGCUGCUCUCCAAUGUUUCCUCUAACUGGCUGCUCUCUGGACAUACCAUGAACCCCUCUGAGAACAAGCUUUUGCAGUGUAUCAGGGCCAACACCACUUGGCUUUUGAGAUGCUAUCUAUGUUUUCCAGCUACAGUGGUUUGUGACAUGCCUGGGCCUGUCCCAGUCUAUCCUAUGGAGACUGUUUACCUGCCUUUUUAAUGCUACAUACAUAUUCAGGUAUUUCACAUAUGGAGCUGUGAAGAAUUUCUUUUGGUGCCAAAAUGUCAUAAGGAAAAAAAGUAUGAGCUUUGUGAUUUGUGGACCUGCUAUGUAGGCAAUCUUUUUCAAAGUUGUAUUUUUCAAGAGGUGUUGGAACAUUUUUCUCCAUAAGGAUCACAGGUGGGAAACUCUUCAUAUACUGCUUCUACAAGUUGGAAAUUUUCCUUGUUUGAGGAUAAUGCAGAAAACAUUCAGUCCUCCAUGUUUGGUUGCUUUAUUUCUUCCUUUAGCCACAUUGCAGAGAACUUUCUAGAAAAGAAUUAAGAAUAUGCACCAAGAAACUCAUCACCACAACUGAGCACACAAUGGUGAGCAAGGUUAUCUCUAAAAUUGUACUCUAUACAUUUUUAAUACUCAAAAAGAAACAUCAAUGUGUCUCAUUUUCUAAUUUGUUAGAGAACAUGUCUGGUAACUGAUUAAACAAGCUAUAAAACACGGGGACCAAAGAGCCUCCAAGAACUUGAAAGACAUAUUACUUGGAUAAGCAAGUAACUCAUGAAAGUGAUGCUAUAGGAAAGAAUUUCUGUACAUCCUCCAUGGCUUGGUCCAAGUGAUGAGCCCUUUUCCAGUCCUUCUCAACAGACUUUAUGACCUACGUCGCCUAUUCCUCUCCUUAAUUCAUUAAACUGCAUUAAUUCAAACUAAUUAUCAUUUAAGCCUUUGACUCUAAAUUUCCUGGAUGAAAAUUUUGGAAUCUCUGAGUCAGAUGAACGUAUUACAUAAGUGCGCCCCAAGGAUUCACAAGCAGAAAACACAUCUUAGCGCUCAGUAAUGCCAGGGGACAUUCUUUUAGGGCAUCAUUCCUCCCUGAUUAUCAUUUUAUCUUCGCUCUUCAGUUGCAAGUCUUUCAUGAAGAAUUUGGGCAACGUUUUAAUUUAAAAAAAUUCCACCAUGCUACUUACAAACAUCAUUUUAAAAAACCUUUUAUUCAAUGGUAUACACAUUCAAGUAACAUUUGAAAUUUUUAAAAUAUAUGCUCAGAAGCAUGUGAACCUGCUGCUCUUGGUUAUUUACCUCACACACCCGGCUCAUGGUCACGUGCCCUUCAGGAGCCUAUUCCUGGAACCCCAUUUGGCAGUUUACCCAACAGAGCAAAAUUAAAAUUUAGAUCCUAGCCCCAAAAUGUUAUGUAACCAAAGCUUUGGUUUUUUGUGACCUUGAAGCGCUAGGUCAAGCCAAACAGCUUGAAUGUAAUUGUGUUUAACUGGAAACUCUGUGUCUGUACAUUUUUAAUGUCCCCAGAUUGCCACAUGAGACUCAGUCUUUAAAUGGGAUCCUUCUGAAGAGCAGAUUUCUUUGGGAGACAGGAUGAGGUAAAUAUGUAGAGACUAAUAUGACACAUGACUGUUUUGCAGGAUGACGCAACCAUGCAGUUGUUUUGUGAUUACCAAGCUCAUGAAGAAUGAACAAUAGACAUUGGAUGCAUUGGUUCAUGCUGUAGCCGCUGUAAUCAGGAAGCUGUGGGAGGAAGAACCCAAGUAGGAAGCCAAUCUGGAUACAUAGGGAUAGCCUGUCUAAGAAAACUAAAAAACUGUAUUCUGAAUACAACCCAAUGGCUUAAAGUAUCACUUAUAAGGAAACUGUAAACUUGCAAAACACUUAGAUUAUUUUUCUAAGGUUCCAAAGUAAGUGUAAUCGGUAAAGUUAAAAACUGUGGAGACAAUUAAGAGCAUGUAUGAGUCAGAUACUGGAAGCCUAGAAAGGAUCAAAAUUUAGAUCAAACAUGGGUUCUACUAAGGAUAUGCCCCCUAGCACUGUUUGGUCAAAGACCCACUAAUAUAUCCACCAAUAAUAAAGAGAACCUGUUCAAGUGUGUGUGUGCUGGAAUGACGCUCUUUGCUUUUCCAUUUUUUCCUGUCCAUUUGCCAGUACCAUUCCUUCUUAGUAUUUGUCGUGGUGGAAUGAUGUUCUGAGGACGUCUGAGGUUGGUACUAUGAGAGUUAUUUGUAAUGCUCAACUUGACACAGUGAAGGGAGGGUCAAUGUGGAAACUUCUGGGCUAGGAUGGCCUAUCAGGGGUGUUUGUGGGCAACUGUCAUGGUUACCUGCACAUGUGGGAAGAUCCGUGUGCAGCAUCUAUCUGUGACUUUGGAUCCUGAACUGUUGAGUGAUCAGAAAGUAGCUCAUUGAUUUCUGCUCCCAUUACUGCGUCUUCUCAGCUAUGUUGAACUGUGACCAGGAAUUGUGAGCCAAAAUAAAAAUUGCUUUUUAGGGUUCUUUAUCACAGCAACAAGAAAUAAAACUAAUCUAGAAACUGAACUUUAAGAAUUUAUUUAAACUCCACCUAGCCCAGAAGUUUCCACAUGGAUCCCAGCAGCCAGGAAAUGGAAGGAAAAAAUAUUCAUUCAUGGGGAGACAAUUAUACUUUCUUGAGCCACUGUACUUUCCGGAGUUAUGUCAUUUUACUGAAAUGGAGCCUUAUAAAUGGCAUAGCCCUGGUGUUUAAAAAUAAUGUAAUAUUCUUUGCAGCAUUCUUACAGAAUGAAUGAAGCACAGAUCCUGCUCAUUCUUCCUGUGUCCACUAUCCACACCAAAAGAAGAUCUACCCAAGUCGAAACCAUCACUCCAUCUGUUACUAUCACUCUUUGGAGUUCAGGACCCCAUCUGCUCCCAAGAGAGCAUGGUUGAAGGUCAGGGGUGGAGUCAGGAACAUUGGUUAGCAUGUUCAGCCCGAGUAGCUGCUGAGUCAGCAUCCAUUACAUCAUUUCUGCUCAUUCCCCAGGCCCUUCUCCAGGUCAUGCUGGACUCCUCCCUGCCAUGUGUCCUGCUCUUGGUGUCACCCUGUUCUUUGGCCCCAGUCUCCUCCUGCCGUCCUCAGAUGGAGGCAGACUCCAUGGAUGCCUGUCUUCUGUAUCUGGUAAACAGACACAGGAAAAUUGCUAGUUCAAAGUCAGCUAGAGCCACAAGGUCCCACUUCACAUUCUGAGUAACUGUCCCAGCUUCUGGAGAGCAAACAGAACAUGCUAAGGACCGUGACAUGGGAAGGUCAGUAGAGACAUCUAUUCUCCCAGUGAUGCUCAUACGGAAACAAUGUGUGACUGAAGUCAAAUGGAAAUACAAAAGCGUAUUUAUUCCUGGUCUAUGCAGUUCCUUGGACACCUGAUACCUCUCUCCUGCUAACAAGAGUUUCAACAAUGUUCACACACACAGAUGCCCCCAACUGGAGACAUAUCUAUAAAAAAAAUCUAUGAUGAAUUUUACUUGGAGCUAUAACAGCAAAAGUUCAAACAAUAUGCAUUCUUGAAAAACAGAAGAGUAAAAAAUAAAAGAUUACUGUAAUAUCCCAAACAAACAGAGAAGUGGUUGAUAUAUUUCUCUGAAGACUCUGGCUUGAUUCAUGUGUCCCACAGAGCACCAGGGAUCAGGUACCAAUAGGCUGGGUCUCAAGACUUUAGAGUCCCGAGGGUGCAGGGCGUGAGGAGACAAGGUUGAGCUGUAUGAAACAUAAUAGAAAACUUAAAAAUGAAACGAAGAGCGAAACAGCAGAAGUCAAGCAAAUGGCGGACACGGAGAGACACAGUAAGAAAAUGGCAACAUAUUUAGAUGUUGCUGCCUGCCGUGUGCUGUGGCUGCUGUGGCUACUGCUGUGGGACCAAGAGUGUUGUCUGGAAGGACAGAACACAGCACUGAAAAAUUUUGGUUUCAUGGAGGAAAAGAAGUUAAAGGAGAGAUGGUGUGGAGGAGAGAUGUGUGAAAAUAACAAAGGAAUAUAAAGAGUCAUCAACAAGAUCACGGGUGAGACACUGAAGUAGGAAAGCAACCCAUUCAUUCUAGAAUAAAAAUAGCAUCACACAAGUAUAAAGAAGACUCACCCCAGUGGAGAAAUGGGCCCUCUGGGCAUCAAGAAGGGGCAGGUACUUGGGAAUGCGCCCCCCCAACCCCCGAGCGCCCCAGUCUUUGUACCUUUCUGUUGACAAAGGCCCAGCUUCCCUGCAGCUCAACGAACACUUGCUGUUUGAGGCUAAACUGGGAACCAGAUGAAAAAAAGAGGAGUAACCGACCAGCAUCUAAACAAACAAGAAUAAAUUAC